rnacentral:lncRNA from 1 species
GAGACAGUAAACAGUUGCCCAGGGACCCACAGCCUUGCAGGCAAGGAAAGAAAUGCAGACCAAGGCCCUCCCUGGUGCCCGCCGGUCAGUCGGAGGAAAACAUAGAUCCCAGAGUGCGCAGGGGCAGGAGAGCAGGCUGACUUUAGGAAAUUUCACCUCCAGGCCAGAGCGGGGCCAGCAUAGCCUCAGGGUCAGCAGAGUUCCUCCCGUCACUGAGAAGUGGGAGGAGGAAGAAAUAAGAAGCCCAGAUGCCCCGUGCGGCGUCCUGAGUGCCCACACGGUGGGAAGUGCUUAACUCUGUUUCCACCAUUUGUAGAUUGUGUCCUUGCUGAGUGACCAGGUGACAUAUCGAGUCCAGCCUUUCCUCCUCUGCCACUCAGGUGGAAGGUGGCAGGGCUGGGUUAAAGCCCAGGCAGCCCCACCUGCAGCCUGGCGCUCCUCCCUCCCCGCUGUUCCUGGGUAACCUGAAGGAGUUGUCCCCUGAAGAGGAGGUGACAGCAGCCCUGUGGGUGUGUGGCUUCUAGGAUGCAACCCCAGAGGUUGCCUGGCAGUGAAUGCAGGCCGGCCGCCCAGCAGGCAUGCCCCGGCCUGUGGUCUGGAAUGUGGACUCGCCACGGGAGACCUGCCAUUGGUGGCCUGGCCAGACCCGGCUCUGGACCUGGGCAGUGCGCUCUCUCUUUGCUCAAGGACUGAGUCCUCAGCCUGCGGCUGCCUGAAUGGUAGCUGGCCGCUGGCCUGAUGCCCCAGCUCUCAGGGCUUCCCUCUGGCCAGAGUCCCAGGGCCCUUGAGGGGGUGAGUGCUGGAGGGAGAGAGGCCGCUCCGGCACCGAGGGAGGCCCGGAGGCCGCAGCAGUGCAUUCUGAAGAUGCCCUACUUGGGCCAGAGCUUGGGGAUCGCUGGCUCCAGAGAAGGGGCAGGAGGGGACCACCCUGUGGCACAAAGGCCGAUGGGAACUCUCAGGGGCACGUGACUCUGGGUUUUAGGAACGCACCUCCCCAUCUCUGAAGGACAGGGCUGGCCCCCAGGCUGGCAGGGACCCCAGGAUGCUCCCGCGGGACCAGGAGAAGCUGCUUCUUCCAAUGACUUCGCUAUUCUUGGGCUGGGCCAGCUUGGCGGCCAGGGUCUUUGGUACUGGC